rnacentral:lncRNA from 1 species
UCCUAGAAAGAGCCGCCCUCACGGCCUCUUCAGAAGGCAGCCGGUGCGUGCCAGAGCCAUCUCCGCUGCCCGGAGCCCUUGGUGCUCAGAGCAGGGAUGCUGCGCCCGCAGGGGGAUGCUUCCCGUGCUGCUGGGGGUGAAACAGGGGGGGCUGCGGGGCUGGAGGGGGCCGCAGCCACUCCUGCAGGAGGGACGUGGGAGGCAACUGGUGUGCCAGCGGGCGCGGAGGAAUGCGGCAGCAUGGGGGUGGGGGGGGGGGAGGACAGAAAUUAAUAAUUAUCUAAAGCGCACCCCUAUCACUGUUCAUCAAAAUUUGCCCAUACUUCAUUCCAGCCUCCUUUCUUCUUCUUGCCUCCAACCAGACCUGGACCAGUGGAGUGCUUGGUGUCAGCAUCCAAGUGUGUGCUUUCAUGCACAGCGUAUGCAAAUGCCAGAUGGUGCACGGGAGCCCCACGCUGCUCCCCAGUGUCCCAGACCAGGGCAUUGGCAACCCAGAGGAGGGGAGAGCAGCGUUGGGACCGGGGGGGUCAUCACCGAGGAUGUGGCACUUCCAGUCCCAGGGUGCGGUGUGCUGCUCGCCGCUGGUAGCUCCACACGGGCAUGA